rnacentral:rRNA from 1 species
AUGUAUCCAUUAGCUUGGGCUGUUGUGGAGAAGGAGACAAAUGAGAGCUGGGCCUGAUUCAUUGGGCUUUUAAUCAAAGACGUGGACAUUAAUGACCAAGGAGUUGGAUGGGUCUUCAUUUCUGACAAGCAAAAGGUAAAAAAAUGUUGCCUUAUUUAG